rnacentral:lncRNA from 1 species
GCUAGCCGGUGGUUGUUCGGUUGUUCGCAUCUGCGACCUUCCUGGAUUCCUGGGCUCAGCUUAACUCUUUCACCAAAUGCUACACCAUCCCAAUGUCCAGACCCCAUCAUGGUUCUGCGGCUGGAGAAAUAGAGGCUGCAAGAAUGUAACAAUGUCUCCAGAGUUGCAGUGACCUUGUCCCUCCAUCUACCUGACAAUGAAGUACAGUGGUCCAGGCUAGUCCACCUUCCUGGGCUGCCUCAUGGGGACUUGGAUGAGGCACCCAGAUCCCAGCAGUCAAGAUAAGUUCAAGUACAUUGGGAAGGAGAGAUUAAAAACAUCAAGAAGUUCAAAGAUAGCCUUGGCUACAUUGUUUCACCUGGGCUACUUGAGACUCUGCCUCAAACAAAACAAAACAAAACAAAACAAAUCAGAUAAGAAUAAAAAUUA